CGCAGUACAAUGACGUGCUUACCUACAGGUUCUCUAUCCACGAUGCCACGUGAUACGCAGUACAAUGACGUGCUUACCUACAGGUUCUCUAUCCACGAUGCCACGUGAUACGCAGUACAAUGACGUGCUUACCUACAGGUUCUCUAUCCACGAUGCCACGUGAUACGCAGUACAAUGACGUGCUUACCUACAGGUUCUCUAUCCACGAUGCCACGUGAUACGCAGUACAAUGACGUGCUUACCUACAGGUUCUCUAUCCACGAUGCCACGUGAUACGCAGUACAAUGACGUGCUUACCUACAGGUUCUCUAUCCACGAUGCCACGUGAUACGCAGUACAAUGACGUGCUUACCUACAGGUUCUCUAUCCACGAUGCCACGUGAUACGCAGUACAAUGACGUGCUUACCUACAGGUUCUCUAUCCACGAUGCCACGUGAUACGCAGUACAAUGACGUGCUUACCUACAGGUUCUCUAUCCACGAUGCCACGUGAUACGCAGUACAAUGACGUGCUUACCUACAGGUUCUCUAUCCACGAUGCCACGUGAUACGCAGUACAAUGACGUGCUUACCUACAGGUUCUCUAUCCACGAUGCCACGUGAUACGCAGUACAAUGACGUGCUUACCUACAGGUUCUCUAUCCACGAUGCCACGUGAUACGCAGUACAAUGACGUGCUUACCUACAGGUUCUCUAUCCACGAUGCCACGUGAUACGCAGUACAAUGACGUGCUUACCUACAGGUUCUCUAUCCACGAUGCCACGUGAUACGCAGUACAAUGACGUGCUUACCUACAGGUUCUCUAUCCACGAUGCCACGUGAUACGCAGUACAAUGACGUGCUUACCUACAGGUUCUCUAUCCACGAUGCCACGUGAUACGCAGUACAAUGACGUGCUUACCUACAGGUUCUCUAUCCACGAUGCCACGUGAUACGCAGUACAAUGACGUGCUUACCUACAGGUUCUCUAUCCACGAUGCCACGUGAUACGCAGUACAAUGACGUGCUUACCUACAGGUUCUCUAUCCACGAUGCCACGUGAUACGCAGUACAAUGACGUGCUUACCUACAGGUUCUCUAUCCACGAUGCCACGUGAUACGCAGUACAAUGACGUGCUUACCUACAGGUUCUCUAUCCACGAUGCCACGUGAUACGCAGUACAAUGACGUGCUUACCUACAGGUUCUCUAUCCACGAUGCCACGUGAUACGCAGUACAAUGACGUGCUUACCUACAGGUUCUCUAUCCACGAUGCCACGUGAUACGCAGUACAAUGACGUGCUUACCUACAGGUUCUCUAUCCACGAUGCCACGUGAUACGCAGUACAAUGACGUGCUUACCUACAGGUUCUCUAUCCACGAUGCCACGUGAUACGCAGUACAAUGACGUGCUUACCUACAGGUUCUCUAUCCACGAUGCCACGUGAUACGCAGUACAAUGACGUGCUUACCUACAGGUUCUCUAUCCACGAUGCCACGUGAUACGCAGUACAAUGACGUGCUUACCUACAGGUUCUCUAUCCACGAUGCCACGUGAUAC